AGUCGAGCGGACCGACGGGAGCUUGCUCCCUUAGKUCAGCGGCGGACGGGUGAGUAACACGUGGGUAACCUSCCUGUAAGACUGGGAUAAYUCCGGGAAACCGGGGYUAAUACCGGAUGCUUGAUUGAACCSCAUGGUUCAAUCAUAAAAGGUGGCUUUYAGCUACCACUUACAGAUGGACCCGCGGCGCAUUAGCUAGUUGGUGAGGUAACGGCUCACCAAGGCGACGAUGCGUAGCCGACCUGAGAGGGUGAUCGGCCACACUGGGACUGAGACACGGCCCAGACUCCUACGGGAGGCAGCAGUAGGGAAUCUUCCGCAAUGGACGAAAGUCUGACGGAGCAACGCCGCGUGAGUGAUGAAGGUUUUCGGAUCGUAAAACUCUGUUGUUAGGGAAGAACAAGUACCGUUCGAAUAGGGC
rnacentral:rRNA from 1 species